rnacentral:rRNA from 1 species
AUUGAACGCUGGCGGCAUGCUUUACACAUGCAAGUCGAACGGUAACAGGGAGCUUGCUCCGCUGACGAGUGGCGAACGGGUGAGUAAUGCGUCGGAACGUGCCGAGUAGUGGGGGAUAACGCAUCGAAAGGUGUGCUAAUACCGCAUACGUACUGAGGUAGAAAGUGGGGGACCUUCGGGCCUCACGCUAUUCGAGCGGCCGACGUCUGAUUAGCUAGCUGGUGAGGUAAAGGCUCACCAAGGCGACGAUCAGUAGCGGGUCUGAGAGGAUGAUCCGCCACACUGGGCAUGGGACACGGCCCAGACUCCUGCGGGAGGCAGCAGUGGGGAAUUUUGGACAAUGGGCGCAAGCCUGAUCCAGCCAUGCCGCGUGUCUGAAGAAGGCCUUCGGGUUGUAAAGGACUUUUGUCCGGGAGCAAAUGCCUGGUGUUAAUAGCAUCGGGAGCUGAGAGUACCGGAAGAAUAAGCACCGGCUAACUACGUGCCAGCAGCCGCCGUAAUAC